AGUGAACGCUGGCGGUAGGCCUAACACAUGCAAGUCGAACGGCAGCACCGUAAGAGCUUGCUCUUACGGGUGGCGAGUGGCGGACGGGUGAGGAAUACAUCGGAAUCUACUUUUUCGUGGGGGAUAACGUAGGGAAACUUACGCUAAUACCGCAUACGACCUACGGGUGAAAGCAGGGGAUCUUCGGACCUUGCGCGAUUGAAUGAGCCGAUGUGGGAUUAGCUAGUUGGCGGGGUAAAGGCCCACCAAGGCGACGAUCCGUAGCUGGUCUGAGAGGAUGAUCGGCGACACUGGAGCUGGGACACGGUCCAGACUCCUACGGGAGGCAGCAGUGGGGAAUAUUGGACAAUGGGCGCAAGCCUGAUCCAGCCAUACCGCGUGGGUGAAGAAGGCCUUCGGGUUGUAAAGCCCUUUUGUUGGGAAAGAAAAGCAGCAGGUUAAUACCCCGCUGUUCUGACGGUACCCAAAGGAUAAGCACCGGCUAACUUCGUG
rnacentral:rRNA from 1 species